UUGUCCCGGUUUAAGCGUGUAGGCUGGUUUUCCAGGCAAAUCCGGAAAACCAAGGCUGAGGCGUGAUGACGAGGCACUACGGUGCUGAAGCGACAAAUGCCCUGCUUCCAGGAAAAGCCUCUAAGCAUCAGGUAACAUCAAAUCGUACCCCAAACCGACACAGGUGGUCAGGUAGAGAAUACCAAGGCGCUUGAGAGAACUCGGGUGAAGGAACUAGGCAAAAUGGUGCCGUAACUUCGGGAGAAGGCACGCUGAUAUGUAGGUGAAGCGACUUGCUCGUGGAGCUGAAAUCAGUCGAAGAUACCAGCUGGCUGCAACUGUUUAUUAAAAACACAGCACUGUGCAAACACGAAAGUGGACGUAUACGGUGUGACGCCUGCCCGGUGCCGGAAG
rnacentral:rRNA from 1 species